rnacentral:sRNA from 1 species
UGAAAAGGAACGAAGGUAAAAAACGCCACGUUCUACUCCUGCGGUUACUCGUCGCAAAAAAAAAUUGUGGCAACACCUUCAUGACCCACUUCAUGCGGG